GUCUACCGCCAUACCACCCUGAACACACCCAAUCCCAUCUGAUCUCAGAAGCUAAGCAGGGUCGGUCCUGUUUAUUACUUGGAUGGGAGACCACCUGGAAAUACCAGGUGCUAUAGGCU
rnacentral:rRNA from 1 species